GGCGUAGGCGGCCUUUCAAGUCGGAUGUGAAAUUUCCCGGCUCAACCGGGAGGAGCCAUCCGAUACUGUUGGGCUAGAGGGCAGCAAGAGAAGGUAGAAUUCCCGGUGUAGUGGUGAUAUGCGUAGAUAUCGGGAGGAAUACCAGUGGCGAAGGCGGCCUUCUGGGCUGUUUCUGACGCUGAGGCCCGAAAGUGUGGGGAGCGAACA
rnacentral:rRNA from 1 species